GAUGAACGCUGGCGGCGUGCCUAAUACAUGCAAGUCGAGCGAACGGACGAGAAGCUUGCUUCUCUGAUGUUAGCGGCGGACGGGUGAGUAACACGUGGAUAACCUACCUAUAAGACUGGGAUAACUUCGGGAAACCGGAGCUAAUACCGGAUAAUAUUUUGAACCGCAUGGUUCAAAAGUGAAAGACGGUCUUGCUGUCACUUAUAGAUGGAUCCGCGCUGCAUUAGCUAGUUGGUAAGGUAACGGCUUACCAAGGCAACGAUGCAUAGCCGACCUGAGAGGGUGAUCGGCCACACUGGAACUGAGACACGGUCCAGACUCCUACGGGAGGCAGCAGUAGGGAAUCUUCCGCAAUGGGCGAAAGCCUGACGGAGCAACGCCGCGUGAGUGAUGAAGGUCUUCGGAUCGUAAAACUCUGUUAUUAGGGAAGAACAUAUGUGUAAGUAACUGUGCACAUCUUGACGGUACCUAAUCAGAAAGCCACGGCUAACUACGUGCCAGCAGCCGCGGUAAUACGUAGGUGGCAAGCGUUAUCCGGAAUUAUUGGGCGUAAAGCGCGCGUAGGCGGUUUUUUAAGUCUGAUGUGAAAGCCCACGGCUCAACCGUGGAGGGUCAUUGGAAACUGGAAAACUUGAGUGCAGAAGAGGAAAGUGGAAUUCCAUGUGUAGCGGUGAAAUGCGCAGAGAUAUGGAGGAACACCAGUGGCGAAGGCGACUUUCUGGUCUGUAACUGACGCUGAUGUGCGAAAGCGUGGGGAUCAAACAGGAUUAGAUACCCUGGUAGUCCACGCCGUAAACGAUGAGUGCUAAGUGUUAGGGGGUUUCCGCCCCUUAGUGCUGCAGCUAACGCAUUAAGCACUCCGCCUGGGGAGUACGUCCGCAAGGUUGAAACUCAAAGGAAUUGACGGGGACCCGCACAAGCGGUGGAGCAUGUGGUUUAAUUCGAAGCAACGCGAAGAACCUUACCAAAUCUUGACAUCCUUUGACAACUCUAGAGAUAGAGCUUUCCCCUUCGGGGGACAAAGUGACAGGUGGUGCAUGGUUGUCGUCAGCUCGUGUCGUGAGAUGUUGGGUUAAGUCCCGCAACGAGCGCAACCCUUAAGCUUAGUUGCCAUCAUUAAGUUGGGCACUCUAAGUUGACUGCCGGUGACAAACCGGAGGAAGGUGGGGAUGACGUCAAAUCAUCAUGCCCCUUAUGAUUUGGGCUACACACGUGCUACAAUGGACAAUACAAAGGGCAGCGAAACCGCGAGGUCAAGCAAAUCCCAUAAAGUUGUUCUCAGUUCGGAUUGUAGUCUGCAACUCGACUACAUGAAGCUGGAAUCGCUAGUAAUCGUAGAUCAGCAUGCUACGGUGAAUACGUUCCCGGGUCU
rnacentral:rRNA from 1 species